AUUGAACGCUGGCGGCAUGCCUUACACAUGCAAGUCGAACGGUAACGGGCCUUCGGGUGCCGACGAGUGGCGAACGGGUGAGUAAUGCAUCGGAACGUACCUUUCAGUGGGGGAUAACGUAGCGAAAGUUACGCUAAUACCGCAUAUUCUGUGCGCGGGAAAGCAGGGGAUCGCAAGACCUUGCACUGAUUGAGCGGCCGAUGUCAGAUUAGCUAGUUGGUGAGGUAAAGGCUCACCAAGGCGACGAUCUGUAGCGGGUCUGAGAGGAUGAUCCGCCACACUGGAACUGAGACACGGUCCAGACUCCUACGGGAGGCAGCAGUGGGGAAUUUUGGACAAUGGGGGCAACCCUGAUCCAGCCAUGCCGCGUGAGUGAAGAAGGCCCUCGGGUUGUAAAGCUCUUUCGGCCGGGAAGAAAUCGCAUGGGUUAAUACCCUGUGCGGAUGACGGUACCGGCAUAAGAAGCACCGGCUAACUACGUGCCAGCCGCCGCAGUAACAC
rnacentral:rRNA from 1 species